AACCAAAUAGGUAGCAUCUCAUUGUCCUUAUAGAUAGAAAUUUGUCUUGCAAUACAAGCUCCAACAAUUACAACACAACAACCUAAAGACAAAAAGCUAAAAACAUAUAGGCAUCAAAAAAUAAAAAAUAAAAUAAAAACAUAAAUAGAUAAAUAAUUAAUAUGAGGGGGACCCUGCCCUGCAAGAGUGGUCUUAAAUAGCCAUAAAUAUAUAGAUGAAAGUGGGGGGGGGAACUAUCACUUCUUUGCCCUCCUGUGUUGAUUCAGCAGAUAUAUUGAUAGAGGAACAAAUGCAUCAGAAAAGAAACAAAACCAAGCACAUCUACAGUCCUUCAGGCUAAAUUGCUUGUUAAAUGUUAUGAACUGCCUGAGGGUACACAGUACUUAUUAAAGCUGUAAAUUAGGGCGGUAACUAAUGAUGUGUUUUGGUGAAAAUGCCUAAAUGAGUUACAAAUGCCAAAACUACCAGAGCUCAAGGUACUAAAUUCAUCUCAUCUAUCCAACAGUCAAAACACAAAAUAUUAUUUCCCCAUUUCUAUUGUGCAUUCAUGUUACCAUAACAGUCAAAUUAAUAAUAAACACUCACAUAUGA